rnacentral:lncRNA from 1 species
UCUGUUUUAAGAGGAUCUGUUUGAAGUUUAAUGUAACUGAAGUCCAUGCACCUGAAGCCAUUAAUUGAUAUAAGUGAAGUAAGUCUUAUGGGUUUCCGGUAGCUCUGACUCAGAUUCUGCUUGCCUCUUCUCCAUGAGAUUACCAAGUCAUCAGGGCAGAGACUCCCUGAGGAUGAGUGGAUCUGGUUCAGAACAUCUGUGAACACAGAGGGAGUGGAAACUUCACUUUCAACAUCAUCAGCCAACUUCCCUCCCAUUACAAUUCUAUCUCAAGAUCAAGGUCAUGCAAGAAAACCAGCAGAACAUGCUUCAGAGCUUUUCUAGAUUUUGAAAUUGGCUGUGGUAAGGUUCCAAAAUAACGAAAAAUAUGAUUCCAGACUUUCUACCCUGGCAAAUUUAUGGAAAGCAAUUUGACUACCACUAUUAUAUCAUCAGACAAUGACAAUGUUUACAGUCCCCCCAGAGAGAUGAUUUGCAAGAACUUCUUCACUGUUAUUUAGAAGGUAUAGUCUUCACCUUUACAAAUGUUUUACGUUUGGUUUUACAAAUAUUCCACUUUACUGGGCCUAUGCUGAAAUGGUUUGAAUAUCCAACUC